AAGUCGUAACAAGGUUUCCGUAGGUGAACCUGCGGAAGGAUCAUUAAUGAAUGCAAGGAUGCUCUUUUUAGAGGUCCGACCCUAUCAUUUUUCCCAAACCCUGUGCACACACGCUGUUUUUAUACACCAUUUUAAUACUCUAUAAAGUCUAUAAGAAUGCCAAAAAGUCUCUUUAAACGGAGCAUAAAAAUUAAAAAUAAAAAA
rnacentral:misc_RNA from 1 species